UACGGAGGGGGCUAGCGUUGUUCGGAAUUACUGGGCGUAAAGCGCACGUAGGCGGCUUUUUAAGUCUGACGUGAAAGCCCAGGGCUUAGCCUUGGAAGUGCGCCAGAAACUGGAAGGCUAGAGUGCCGGAGGGGAGAGUGGAAUUCCUGGUGUAGCGGUGAAAUGCGUAGAUAUCAGGAGGAAUACCGGUGGCGAAAGCGACUCUCUGGACGGUAACUGACGCUGAGGCACGAAAGCGUGGGGAGCAAACAGG
rnacentral:rRNA from 1 species